GAGAGUGUUGUCCUGCUGUGCCUCAUGCUGCUGGCAUCUGUGGCCCUGCAGAAAUGGUUCUGAGACCUCCAGACCACUGGGAGCCCAGGUAGCCCUAGGCUAACCUCAACUUUAAUGGAAGACACAAAGACACAGGCGCUGGGAACAUGUCUCCGGAACCCACCCUUCUACGUGUUGGUCCAGCUACUUCCUGGCUCACAUCCCAUCCCAGGCAUGGAGUCCAGGGACCAGGCUGAGGGCAGAUGAGAAACUGAGGCUCAGAGUAGCAGAGGGUCUGGCCUGAGGUGACUGGGGAGCUGGGAAGAACGCCCCUCAAGGACCCUUGUCCUCUGUUUCUGCUGAAAUGAAGAUGAUUCAGAGGCCAGAGUGGACCCCAAGCCAAGUCAGAAUUCUGGGGAGCUGAGUGCUUAGUGAACUGAGGAAAAGCUGUGGACUUGAAAAAGGAAGAGUUGGAGGACACAAGCCCUGUUGAGUGCCUGGCACUGAGUAGGCACUGGUGAGCUGCUGAAGGGUUGACCAGAAGGUAAAAAUAAAGAUGUUUCUAGGCACUGUGCUGGGUGUUUGCUCUCCCCAGAGACUCCUAGACUGGGAGGCUCACAUGAGCCAAGUCAACCAGUUCUAAUCUGGGUCUGGGACAAGCUGGACUGAGCCUCAGUUUCCUGAGCUAUGAAAUGGGGAUAAAAGUGGUGCCUUCUGAAUGAAACCCUUCCCUGCAAUGAGCA
rnacentral:lncRNA from 1 species